GAUGAACGCUGGCGGCGUGCUUAACACAUGCAAGUCGAACGAUGAAGCCCAGCUUGCUGGGUGGAUUGGUGGCGAACGGGUGAGUAACACGUGAGUAACCUGCCCUUGACUCUGGGAUAAGCCUGGGAAACUGGGUCUAAUACUGGAUAUGACUUCUCAUCGCAUGGUGGGGGGUGGAAAGAUUUAUUGGUCUUGGAUGGACUCGCGGCCUAUCAGCUUGUUGGUGAGGUAAUGGCUAACCAAGGCUACGACGGGUAGCCGGCCUGAGAGGGUGACCGGCCACACUGGGACUGAGACACGGCCCAGACUCCUACGGGAGGCAGCAGUGGGGAAUAUUGCACAAUGGGCGCAAGCCUGAUGCAGCGACGCCGCGUGAGGGAUGACGGCCUUCGGGUUGUAAACCUCUUUCAGUAGGGAAGAAGCGAGAGUGACGGUACCUGCAGAAGAAGCGCCGGCUAACUACGUG
rnacentral:rRNA from 1 species